UUUGUGAAGCAGAAAUGUCUCCACACAUGACUGUAAGUGAGCAGCGUGCUGCUGCGAUGAUACGCUUUCUCUUCUUUGAACAUGACAAAGAUUUGGUGUUGACCUCUUACCUGUCACAACAUCUGUCUGCAAUUAUGUUGAGUGCCCAACUUAAGCAAAUUGUAUCAUCUGGAGAAGGAGCUUCUACAUCAGAUGCACUAACAAGCGGACCGCAGUCCAGAUCCGGACCCAGAACCUGUCCCACAUGGAUCCAGAGUUAAAACAUAAAAUCUGAUGGUGUGCUUUUACUUUAACUGGCACAGCUUUUGGAGUCUUCAGUGGUCAGAAAACAUGUGGACCAAUUGCACAUGAGUUUUCUUGUUACCGACCAAGCCAUGUCCGAGGAUUACCAUUGCCUUGCCCUCGAUGGAUC